UUCCUGGUGGCUCAGACGGUAAAGCAUCUGCCUGCAAUGCGGGAGACCUGGGUUCGAUCCCUGGGUGGGAAA
rnacentral:tRNA from 1 species